rnacentral:rRNA from 1 species
CGGCAUGCCUAACACAUGCAAGUCGAACGCCCUCUUCGGAGGGAGUGGCGCACGGGUGCGUAACGCGUGGGAACCUGCCCUUAGGUUCGGAAUAACUCAGAGAAAUUUGAGCUAAUACCGGAUAAUGUCUUCGGACCAAAGAUUUAUCGCCUUUGGAUGGGCCCGCGUUGGAUUAGCUAGUUGGUGGGGUAAAGGCCUACCAAGGCGACGAUCCAUAGCUGGUCUGAGAGGAUGAUCAGCCACACUGGGACUGAGACACGGCCCAGACUCCUACGGGAGGCAGCAGUGGGGAAUAUUGGACAAUGGGCGAAAGCCUGAUCCAGCAAUGCCGCGUGAGUGAUGAAGGCCUUAGGGUUGUAAAGCUCUUUUACUGGGGAUGAUAAUGACAGUACCCAGAGAAUAAGCUCCGGCUAACUCCGUG